ACACACACACACACAGUCAGACACAAACACACACACACACAGUCAGACACAUACACACACACACAGUCAGACACAUGCACAGACACAAACACAGUCAGACACAAACACACACACAGUCACACACACACACAGUCAGACACAAACACAUACACAGUCACACACACACAGUCAGACACAAACACACACACACACACACAUACACAAACAGUCAGACACAAACACACACACUCACAAACACACACACACAGUCAGACACACACACAGUCAGACACAAACACACACAGUCAGACACAAACACACACACACACAGCCAGACACAAACACACACAAACAGUCAGACACACACACAGUCAGACACAAACACACACACACAGUCAGACACAAACACACACAAACAGUCAGACACACACAUAGUCAGACACAAACAAACAUACACAAACACAGUCAGACACUGUGCCGCCAUCUUCCGGCUCCCAGCCUCACUCUGCGGCACGCGAGGGAGCUGAGCAGUCAGCUCAGAGGAGGUGUUCCC